ACGUAGGGGGCUAGCGUUAUCCGGAUUUACUGGGCGUAAAGGGUGCGUAGGUGGUUUCUUAAGUCAGGAGUGAAAGGCUACGGCUCAACCGUAGUAAGCUCUUGAAACUGGGAAACUUGAGUGCAGGAGAGGAAAGUGGAAUUCCUAGUGUAGCGGUGAAAUGCGUAGAUAUUAGGAGGAACACCAGUAGCGAAGGCGGCUUUCUGGACUGUAACUGACACUGAGGCACGAAAGCGUGGGGAGCAAACAGGAUUAGAUACCCUGGUAGUCCACGCCGUAAACGAUGAGUACUAGGUGUCGGGGGUUACCCCCCUCGGUGCCGCAGCUAACGCAUUAAGUACUCCGCCUGGGGAGUACGCUCGCAAGAGUG
rnacentral:rRNA from 1 species